CGCAUCUGUGCAUGCAGCAUAUCAAUAAGCGGAGGAAAAGAAACUAACAAGGAUUCCCUUAGUAACGGCGAGUGAAGCGGGAAGAGCUCAAAUUUGAAAUCUUCAGGGUUUUACCUUGACGAAUUGUAGUUUAAAGAAGUGUUUUCUGUUGAAGUCUUGGUAAAAGUUCUUUGGAAUAGGACAUCAUAGAGGGUGAGAAUCCCGUAUUUGACCAUUAUUUUCAGCUGUGUGAUACACUUUCAAAGAGUCGGAUUGUUUGGGAAUGCAGUCCAAAAUGGGUGGUAAAUUUCAUCUAAAGCUAAAUAUUGGCGAGAGACUGAUAGCGAACAAGUACCGUGAGGGAAAGAUGAAAAGAACUUUGAAAAGAGAGUUAAACAGUACGUGAAAUUGUCAAAAGGGAAGCGUUUGACACCAGUGUUGUUUUCUCGAAAAUCAAUUAAAAAGAGUUAGAUUUUGUUGUGUAUUGACCUUAACAGCUUGCAUUUCAAUUUUCUUGCUUUUUUUAAUGCACUUUUCGUUUAACAAGUCAACAUCAGUUUCUUUUGUUGUAAAAAGGUCAUUGGAAGGUGGCUUUCUUUUCGGAGAAAGUGUUUAUAGCCUUUGACUCCUGCAAUCGGAGAGACUGAGGUCUGCAGCGUAGAUCCUUCGGGGUUAGAUACAUUUGUGCUAAGUUAUAGCUUUUUAUAGACAACUUGUUGACUAUGAUUAGUCUUGUAGCUUACUCGCUUAUGCUAUUUUACCUACGCUUAGGAUGUUGAUCUGUAGUGCGUGCGC
rnacentral:rRNA from 1 species